rnacentral:rRNA from 1 species
AACGAACGCUGGCGGCAUGCCUAACACAUGCAAGUCGAACGAGACCUUCGGGUCUAGUGGCGCACGGGUGCGUAACGCGUGGCAACCUGCCCUUAGGUUCGGAAUAACUCCCCGAAAGGGGUGCUAAUACCGGAUAAUGUCUUCGGACCAAAGAUUUAUCGCCUUUGGAUGGGCCCGCGUUGGAUUAGCUAGUUGGUAGGGUAAAAGCCUACCAAGGCGACGAUCCAUAGCUGGUCUGAGAGGAUGAUCAGCCACACUGGGACUGAGACACGGCCCAGACUCCUACGGGAGGCAGCAGUGGGGAAUAUUGGACAAUGGGCGAAAGCCUGAUCCAGCAAUGCCGCGUGAGUGAUGAAGGCCUUAGGGUUGUAAAGCUCUUUUACCCGGGAUGAUAAUGACAGUACCGGGAGAAUAAGCUCCGGCUAACUCCGUG